rnacentral:rRNA from 1 species
AUUGAACGCUGGCGGCAUGCCUUACACAUGCAAGUCGAACGGCAGCAUGGAGAGCUUGCUCUCUGAUGGCGAGUGGCGAACGGGUGAGUAAUGCAUCGGAACGUACCGUGUAAUGGGGGAUAACGUAGCGAAAGUUACGCUAAUACCGCAUACGACCUGAGGGUGAAAGCAGGGGAUCGCAAGACCUUGCGUUAUACGAGCGGCCGAUGUCAGAUUAGCAAGUUGGCGAGGUAACGGCUCACCAAGGCGACGAUCUGUAGCGGGUCUGAGAGGAUGAUCCGCCACACUGGGACUGAGACACGGCCCAGACUCCUACGGGAGGCAGCAGUGGGGAAUUUUGGACAAUGGGGGCAACCCUGAGCCAGCCAUGCCGCGUGAGUGAAGAAGGCCUUCGGGUUGUAAAGCUCUUUCGGCCGGGAAGAAAUCGCACAGGCUAAUACUCUGUGUGGAUGACGGUACCGGCAUAAGAAGCACCGGCUAACUACGUGCCAGCCGCCGCCGUAA